CCUACGGGAGGCAGCAGUGAGGAAUAUUGGUCAAUGGACGAGAGUCUGAACCAGCCAAGUAGCGUGAAGGAUGACUGCCCUAUGGGUUGUAAACUUCUUUUAUCUGGGAAUAACAUGUUCAACGUGUGGGAUUUUGUAUGUACCAUAUGAAUAAGGAUCGGCUAACUCCGUGCCAGCAGCCGCGGUAAUACGGAGGAUCCGAGCGUUAUCCGGAUUUAUUGGGUUUAAAGGGAGAGUAGGUGGAUUGUUAAGUCAGUUGUGAAAGUUUGCGGCUCAACCGUAAAAUUGCAGUUGAAACUGGCAGUCUUGAGUACAGUAGAGGUGGGCGGAAUUCGUGGUGUAGCGGUGAAAUGCUUAGAUAUCACGAAGAACUCCGAUUGCGAAGGCAGUUCACUGGACUGCAACUGACACUGAGGCUCGAAAGUGUGGGUAUCAAACAGGAUUAGAUACCCGGGUAGUC
rnacentral:rRNA from 1 species